rnacentral:rRNA from 1 species
UACGAAGGGGGCUAGCGUUGUUCGGAAUUACUGGGCGUAAAGCGUGCGCAGGCGGCUUCUCAAGUCAGGGGUGAAAGCCCAGAGCUCAACUCUGGAAUUGCCUUUGAGACUGAGAGGCUUGAGUACGGGAGAGGUGAGUGGAAUUCCCAGUGUAGAGGUGAAAUUCGUAGAUAUUGGGAAGAACACCAGUGGGCGAAGGCGGCUCACUGGACCGUAACUGACGCUCAUGCACGACAGCGUGGGGAUUAAACAGG